rnacentral:rRNA from 1 species
AGUGAACGCUGGCGGUAGGCCUAACACAUGCAAGUCGAACGGCAGCACAGUAAGAGCUUGCUCUUACGGGUGGCGAGUGGCGGACGGGUGAGGAAUACAUCGGAAUCUACUUUUUCGUGGGGGAUAACGUAGGGAAACUUACGCUAAUACCGCAUACGACCUACGGGUGAAAGCAGGGGAUCUUCGGACUUUGCGCGAUUGAAUGAGCCGAUGUCGGAUUAGCUAGUUGGCGGGGUAAAGGCCCACCAAGGCGACGAUCCGUAGCUGGUCUGAGAGGAUGAUCAGCCACACUGGAACUGAGACACGGUCCAGACUCCUACGGGAGGCAGCAGUGGGGAAUAUUGGACAAUGGGCGCAAGCCUGAUCCAGCCAUACCGCGUGGGUGAAGAAGGCCUUCGGGUUGUAAAGCCCUUUGUUGGGAAAGAAAAGCAGCAGGUUAAUACCCCGCUGUUCUGACGGUACCCAAAGAAUAAGCACCGGCUAACUUCGUG